ACAAGCAGUGGGAGCACCUUCGUGGUGUGACUGCGUACCUUUUGUAUAAUGGGUCAGCGACUUAUAUUCUGUAGCAAGGUUAACCGUAUAGGGGAGCCGAAGGGAAACCGAGUCUUAACUGGGCGUUAAGUUGCAGGGUAUAGACCCGAAACCCGGUGAUCUAGCCAUGGGCAGGUUGAAGGUUGGGUAACACUAACUGGAGGACCGAACCGACUAAUGUUGAAAAAUUAGCGGAUGACUUGUGGCUGGGGGUGAAAGGCCAAUCAAACCGGGAGAUAGCUGGUUCUCCCCGAAAGCUAUUUAGGUAGCGCCUCGUGAACUCAUCUUCGGGGGUAGAGCACUGUUUCGGCUAGGGGGCCAUCCCGGCUUACCAACCCGAUGCAAACUACGAAUACCGAAGAAUGUUAUCACGGGAGACACACGGCGGGUGCUAACGUCCGUCGUGAAGAGGGAAACAACCCAGACCGCCAGCUAAGGUCCCAAAGUCAUGGUUAAGUGGGAAACGAUGUGGGAAGGCACAGACAGCCAGGAUGUUGGCUUAGAAGCAGCCAUCAUUUAAAGAAAGCGUAAUAGCUCACUGGUCGAGUCGGCCUGCGCGGAAGAUGUAACGGGGCUAAACCAUGCACCGAA
rnacentral:rRNA from 1 species